rnacentral:ncRNA from 1 species
AUAUUCCGACAGGGGAGCGCCACAGCGCUGAGAGUGCGGCACCGAGGACAGGUUGGCCGCAGACCCUCUGAACCUCGCCCGGGUCAUUCCGGGUAGGAAGUUCGGACCUUACUCAAG